UCCCAGCAGUCCAAGUCGCAAUCACAAUUAUUGGGUCUAAAACAUCCGUAGCUUGCUUUGUAAGUCUCUUGUGAAAUCCGGCCUCUUAAGGGUCGAAAGUGCGAGAGAUACUGCUUAGCUUGAGACCGGGAGAGGUAAGAAGUAACAAACGGAGUAGCGGUAAAAUGUGUUGACCCUGUUGGAUAACAACAGCGGAAGGCAUCUUACUAGAACGGAUCUGA
rnacentral:rRNA from 1 species